rnacentral:rRNA from 1 species
AGAGUUUGAUCCUGGCUCAGAAUCAACGCUGGCGGCGUGCCUAACACAUGCAAGUCGAGCGAGAAAAGGGGAGCAAUCCUCUGAGUAAAGCGGCGCACGGGUGAGUAACACGUGGGUAAUCUGCCCUGAAGUGGGGAAUAACACCGGGAAACCGGUGCUAAUACCGCAUAUGAUCACGGUGUCUGCGGACACAGGGAUGAAAGGAGCAAUUCGCUUCAGGAGGAGCCCGCGGCUGAUUAGCUAGUUGGUGAGGUAAUGGCUCACCAAGGCUACGAUCAGUAUCCGGUCUGAGAGGACGGUCGGACACACUGGAACUGAGACACGGUCCAGACUCCUACGGGAGGCAGCAGUGGGGAAUUUUUCGCAAUGGGGGCAACCCUGACGAAGCAACGCCGCGUGGAUGAUGAAGUAUCUCGGUACGUAAAAUCCUUUCGACAGGGAAGAAACCGCAAGGUUGACGGUACCUGUAGAAGAAGCCCCGGCUAACUCCGUGCCAGCAGCCGCGGUAAUACGGGGGGGGCUAGCGUUGUUCGGAAUUACUGGGCGUAAAGGGCGCGUAGGCGGUCUGCUAAGUUGGAUGUGAAAACUCUGGGCUUAACCCAGAGCCUGCAUUCAAUACUGACAGGCUAGAGUUCUGGAGGGGAUAGCGGAAUUCCUGGUGUAGCGGUGAAAUGCGUAGAUAUCAGGAGGAACACCGGUGGCGAAGGCGGCUAUCUGGACAGAGUCUGACGCUGAGGCGCGAAAGCUAGGGGAGCAAACAGGAUUAGAUACCCUGGUAGUCC